UGACUGUAAAGCGGACCUUCACAGAGCCACGGUCACCAGGCUGGCAAACGUCUUUUCCCAUUGAGGCAUCUUUCUGGCUCUGGAGAGUGAAAGUUUUCAAAGGAAGAUAAACUUUCCUGGGCUCUCCAAACCAAAAUGGUGAAAAAGCUUCGGACUCCUGGGCCCCAACUUAAACUGCUUUGAGUUCUAGAAGCUUCACUCCCAGACUCAGCUCUCAGAAGUUAUGGAGGGCAAACAAGAGCCCACCCAGGACAAGCAGUCUCACAGGGGGACAGGGCCAUGAGUUUCCUCUUGGAACCAUUCCUUCCAGGUGCUAAGGCUUGGCUCCUGGGAAGUCACAGACGGACCUGAGUGUAUACACCACAUAUACUGUGUAGUGUGCAUGUGUGCUUGGCUCUACUCUGCUUCAUGUAGACUUAGUUCUUCGGGUAACACUCUUGGAGGGUUAGAACACGCGUCAGUCUAUCCUGAGAAGACCCUGUGUAUUUCCUACUGCUGCCUCACACUAAAUUGUUUAUUCUC
rnacentral:lncRNA from 1 species